AGAGACAGCAGUCGCCGCGGUAAUACAGAGGGUGCGAGCGUUAAUCGGAUUUACUGGGCGUAAAGCGUGCGUAGGCGGCUUCUUAAGUCGGAUGUGAAAUCCCUGAGCUUAACUUAGGAAUUGCAUUCGAUACUGGGAAGCUAAAGUAUGGGAGAGGAUGGUAGAAUUCCAGGUGUAGCGGUGAAAUGCGUAGAGAUCUGGAGGAAUACCGAUGGCGAAGGCAGCCAUCUGGCCUAAUACUGACGCUGAGGUACGAAAGCAUGGGGAGCAAACAGGAUUAGAUACCCCUGUAGUCCCUGUCUCUUAUAC
rnacentral:rRNA from 1 species